ensembl:lncRNA
AUGCAUCUUUCUCAGGGCUUGACUAGACUGAUUAGGUGGUCACCCCACCCCAAAAGCUUCCCUUCCCAUGAUGCCUCGGGCUACGACGCCACACCCUGCGACAGCACUCCCCCCUCCUGAGUGGGACGAUCUCUGUGCAGGUGGGACGGGUAAUUAAACUUUUACAUCGACUCUCUUCUCUGGUGUAAAUCAGCUUACUGUCACAGAUCCAUUCUGCUGGAAAUGACAGUAAAGUGAGGGCUGGAGCAGUUCAAGCUAAAUAAUAAUAAAAAAGCUCUUGUUAUUGACCCA